GUGGGUUAUGCUUACCGAAGCGAUUAGGUCGCUUCCCAUGUCAAAGUAAAGUAUGGUCUCAUUUGAUGCAUAUAUGAAUAUAGUUGUCGAUAUAUGAAUAUAAAUGCUUGAUGCGUAUGAAUGAAUAGGCAUAUAUGGUGGUUGACAUAUUAUGAUUGUUGACAUAUGAUAGUUAUCAGAUAAGUAUGAAUGCUACAUGCAUAUGAAUAUGAAUGCUAGAUGCAUAUGAAUGUAUUAUAGUUCAAACUAUAUGAACGUCGAUAAUUCUAGUUGAUAAAGGAACUUCGAUGUUGAUAAGUAAUUGAAAAUAUGUAAACUAUGAACCUAGGCAAGAGUACCUAGGAUGAUAUAUAGAUCGAGUGGCAUGGCCUAGUGUCAGUAAACAUAGGUCUGACAUGAACCUAGUGUCAUUGGACAUAGGUCGAGUAAUUAAACCUAGAGUCGAGUUCUAGGUGAAAAUGAUAUAAAACCUAGCAAAUGAACCUAGGUUAUGAUAUAUAGUAAGACUUAGUACAUUUGAACUAAGUUGUGAAUAUUAGUGGUAUAGUGACCACUAGGAAAGGAUUGGUAUCGACCUAGGAGGGUCGUCAACAUAGGGUAAAGUGAGUAAACCCUCAAAUUGUGGAAAUGGAUUCCGGAAUCCCAAGAUCUAUUAUAACCUUGGUAUCAAGGCUAGGGCGUGUGCGACGAUUUCGCCGCCGAGAUUGAUACCAAGGCAGGAUUGGGUGUGUGCGCAGUGUCCACCACCCGGAGGCUUGAACCAUUGUUCGGCGUGUGCGACGAUUUCGCCGCCAGAUGGUUAAGCUAGCUUGUGGAUCCUACCGCCUGUUGACUGAACCACUGUCGUGGCGUGUGCGACGAUUUCGCCGCCGGGUGGCUAAGUCAUUGACCUAGGCUGUUGUUGGGUGAGGUGCGACUCGUUCGCCGCCAGACAGCUAGGACAGGAGUACGGUGAGCUGUCGCCAGCUGAGGUGCAUGUGAGAGUUCCUUCACCUCGAGCUAGACAGUGCGCGGACUAUCCGCAAUUGAUUGACUCAAAACCGAGUCGGGUGGCAUAGUGAGAUUAAGGUAAGAGCAACCUUAAGAAAGAAUUUGCCAAUGAAUAUAGUGGGGCCAAGUUUAAGGUGUAGAACACCAAGUACAAGUACAAAGAAUAAAGAGCAAAACAUGAACGAUAAUGAAAUUAGCUAAUGAACGAGAAUAGCUAAGAAAUAAAAGAACGGCUAUAAGUAAAGAAUGGUUAAAGAUAUAAAGUAGAAUCAAGUAAUCUACUUACAUGAUUGACAGGUUUUGCAUAUUGCAUAGCAGCGAGGCAAGGUAUGGUUUUAUUUAUUGCUUAGUCAAAUAUCUAUCUAUCUAUCUAUUUGUUGAACUAACCUACUGUUGCCUCCUUUGGACCUGGUGGGUCGAGCUCUUCCCUUGGGUGGCCGUACCCACUGGGAACUAUAUUUAUAUAGUUCUCACCCCCGUGUUGUUUUGGGGGUACAGGUUGCACGCGAGCGGCGCGGCGGCGCGAGGACAGGGCGUAGCUCCGUAGAUAGCGCCCCACCACUGAGACCGAGAUAGCAAUACCCUGAUGUGAUCGAGCUCAUAGAGUAUAAGAUGAAGAAACAAAUUUGUAGUAAAUUGUAUAAGUUUUGUAAUAACUUAAAGGUAUUUGUAAUAGUGUAAAUGUAAAAUUCUGAGAUGAAUGCUUGUAAUAGCAUAGCUCGCAUUUUUGUUUUUGAUACUAUGCAAUCUGUGGUUGAAUACAGUUCCUGUUUGGAACCUCUUGUAUCGCAUUGUAUAGAUUGUGACGCCUAGAACGUACAGGGGAGGUUCUGUCCGUUCGGCGGUCUGUCGGCGUGCCCGAAUCCGACCAAAUAGGCGGAGCUCGGGGCGUGACAGAUUAAAUGGUAUCAGAGCAUGAAAAGAGCAAUAGAAACGGUUUAAGCGGACCUAGGAGACCUAGGAUAGUAAACCGUAAGGACUUAUGUUCGUGAGAGACGAGGACUUGUGACGUGUGGCGAAAGGUAAAUCGAUUGGGUCAAGUUUAGUAAACCUCUAAGACGGAUAUUAGAGGUAGAUUCAAGGUUCAGUUUAUUCUCAGCCAAGUGAGUUCAUGUUGGGUCGACACAACAUGAAACCGAGGGAUGGGAAUAAGCUUCCUUGCAUGACUUUCGCCCGAUUUGAGUUUGUGUUAAUUAUUUCGUAUUCGACCCAGAGGGUCGAGGACUAACCGAGUUGUCGUGUCAUGUUUCAGGAAGCGAUGGCACCGCGUAGGCGAUCUUCGUCUAGAUUGGCGCGAGAUGGGACAGAUGGUGUCCCUGAGCAGACUGAGGCGAGCGGAGACUUGGAGCUUCGCGAUCAGUUGGCCACACUCGUGGGAGUGGUGAGGCAACAAGCGGAUGUAGUGCAACGUCAGCAGGAAACUGCUCUGCGACAAGAAGAGCGAAUAAAGAGACUUCAGGAAACAGUGGAUCAGUUAGUGACCGCACCAGUUUCGGCCUGUCGAGUACAGCCGGGAGUUGCGGCAGCGGCAUUUCCGUCGAGGUCGGGUGAUCCAACUGCUAUUGAUUCAGGGCCGGAAGCGGAAAGAGAGCGAGCUUUAGCGGCUCUCAUGUCCUUCAAGAAGUUUGAUCCACCUGCGUUUGAUGGAGAGGACAUAGAUCCAUGGACUGUGGAGUCAUGGAUUGAUUCCAUAGAGACUAUCUUCGAGGAUUUGUACACGGUGGAGCGGGACAAGGUACACCUAGCCGUGCAUUGUCUACAAUUGUCGGCGAAGGAAUGGUGGAAAGGCGUUAAACGGAACCGAUCGCCUAGUCUUCCUUCUAUGGUUUGGGAAGAGUUUCGGGAAUUAAUGCGUUCAACUUAUUUCCCCGAUAGUGAAAAGAGAAAGCUUCAGAACAGGUUUCAGAAACUACGACAGGGAGACCGCCUUGUGAGGGAAUACGAGCGGGAAUUCUCUCGUAUCGUGAACUAUGUUCCAAGUGUGGUACGGGACGACAAGGAUCGAGCUGAUUGUUUUGUACGACUUCGGCCUGAUAUUUUUGAAGCAGUGCAUAAUCUAAAGUUGCAGACUUUUGCUGAAGUCUUGGAUCGGGCCUUAUGGAUAGAACAAGGCAAUGCAUCGGUGCAGGAGGAGCGCGAAUCUUAUUACAAGGAAAAAGAAAAAGAACGACCAGCGAGUGGGUAUGAUGGUCAGUCAAGUUCUCAGCGGACCACUGGGAGUUCGCGUUCGCGAUCCCGAGCUCCGGGGACGUAUCGUAGUCGGACCUCGGCAUGUUGUGUUAUUUGUGGGGGUCCUCACUACCCACAGCAGUGUGAGCAACAAGAUGGCAAGUGCUUCAGGUGUGGACGGCCAGGUCAUGCGCGGGACGAGUGUCCACGGGGUGCUAGCCAAGCCUUGAUGCUGGCGACGGCAUUCUCCUCUCCGGGACAACUUGUAGAUGUGCCACCUGUGGCACGGUCUGGAGAGCGAAUGAGGAUAAGGCAACCGAGGGGUUCGCGACGAACGACAAGUGGCCGUGGAUAGGUGUUCCAUGUGGAGGAACCUGCUACGACUGUUGGCAUUGUGACAGGUACGAGUUAAUCAAAGCAAGCAUGUAUUUCAAUAUGAUAUAAAUUGGUGCAUUGCAUGCUUUCUUUAUGUAUUCUAUUACUACUAUUUGUGCAUGAGGAUAGUAGUGAUUGAUUAUAGAGACCCGAACAUGCUUGUGGUGGAUGUGUAGUACCUGCUAUUGCAGAUAGGAGGCCAAAUGGCACUAGCAAAUUGCUGGUAAGAGCCUGUGAAUAAGACGUAAGACUCGUAGUAGAAAUGGUAGUAGCUGACCAACUCUCAAAUUAAUGCGAGUUGCUGAUUGCGAGAGUCUAGUCGCGGUGUUCGUGGAACUCGUGUAAGACCGAGCAUUUUGCAGGUUGUUCUAGUAGAUCGAACAGUGAAAGUGGAGUCACUGUUGCGUCUGGUACGUGCACGUGGACCUAACAAUACCUCGAAUUGAGGUCAAUGGGUCGUGCUCGUGUAGUUGAGUGCAUAGGCAAGAGUUGCCUGAUGCUAGACUUAAUAUAGCACGCGAUAGAGUCGUGUAGAGCGCUCUAGUGUUGGUGCUCGUAGAGUACAGAUUUGUUUCAGCCGUGAGUGCGUUGGCAGUAGCACUUUAGCAUUGCUAAGUGUGAAGCGUGCCAGAGGUCACUCGUAGGGCUGGUGGCUCGCACUAGGUGCGUAGGAGCCGAUAGUGGUAUGUGUGCGCGAUAGAGAGUGUCGUGUGAGACGACGUUUGCGGGUAGUGCUUGGGGACGAUCCGUGCCUGGACCACUUGUGGACUGUGGAGCCUGGGCCCAUUGGGCAGGCACAGUCGGCUGUGAGAGGCAGCGGCCCGGUACCUACGGGUAGGGCAGCGAGUUUUGGUCAGGACGGUAGUUCCAGCAUAGACCCGAGUACGUGGAAUGCCACGUGUUGGAUCGUGAAAUCGGUGAUGCACUAAGAGUGCGGUUGUGACCCAACCCGAGGACUUGGCGUGGUUUGGGGUCUCGGUUGCUCCCAGUUGGAGUAGGUAUAAGGUAUCUCAAAUGAGAACUUUGCUUCGUGAUAAUUGGGUUUACGCUUGCGAGCGAGAGGCAUUAUGUCGUGUCACGGUUGAGUUAGGCAAUCGGCCUAUAGCGGAUCGGUAACUUAUGAACCGAAUUGUGGUAUUGGUUUACUCGUUCAUACUGAAAGCGAGCGUAGUGGACCCAUUCCAGUGGCUUGUGAGUAGGGCCGUGAAAGCGAAGGCUUAGUCCUAUGGAUGAAUUAAUCAGACUUGCUACGAUAAGCAUCGAUAACGAGCUGAGAAUGGAAACGCGAACAAAGUGUUCGUAGAGACUGAUGUGGAGAAAUCAGUAUAGUAUAAAAUGAAAUUGAGAAACUGUAGAAUAGUAUUGGAAUUUAUCUCCAUCCGUUAAGUAAUGAGGAAUAAAAUGUAUCUAAGUUUCGCGGACGAAACUUUUGUUAACGGGAGGAGAAUGUAACAUAUGGAAAUUUGGAGUUGCGAUGUCAACUUUGAUCUCGGGGAUCAAAGUGAGGAUUGAGCUAGUUGGACAUCAUCCUCGAGUGAUUCGUGAUGCGUUGGAAUGAAUUUCGGAGAUAAAUAAGUGUUUCGGCGCAAAUUGGGCGCGAAACGAAAUGUAAAAAGAAUUUUCGGAUUUCCGACGCUAACUUUGAUUAAAAGAAUUAAAGUAAGGCGUGAGGAUAAAUUGUGGUAUCUCCGAAUCAAUUGUGAAGUUUUGGAAAAGCCAAGGGUGUGCUUUCAAAGGGUUUUGAAGUGUUCAGUGCGAAGUGGUAGUGCAAAAAGGAGAAAUUUCUGCCGUAUAAUGAAAUUGGAGCUGAUUCUAUUGCUAAUUCGGCUCCAAUAAUGUCAAAAUGCAAAGGAAUUGCUUCCAAAUUGGAUUGGUAGCUUGUGAAGGUCCCUUGGUAUCUUUUGGACAUGUUUGGGUGAAAUUGGAGUGAAAACGGAAACUUUAGAAUUUUCUGUAAAGAACGGGACUGAGAAAAAUUAGCGGAAAAUGCACAGUGUCAGAAAAUUAUGAAAAUUGGCAGAGAUGUCAGGAACAUUUUUAUGAGGCUAGAUUUGAAGUUUCAGAUUAUUCUGACACCUAUAGAGAGAGAAAUAGCAUCCGAAAGUUAUCUGAUGAAGAUUACAGUUCGGGACAGUUCGCAGUGACCAAACGGGGUCGAAACUGAAAUGUUAAAAUUUCAGUGGACUUGUUAAGGAAAACCGAGUAUGCCUGUCGAAUUUGAGCUCAAUUGGACUGUCGGAAGGGCUCCAAUUAAAUGUAUCAGACUAGAAUUGGAUUGAAGUGAUAAGAUCGAUGACUUAUGGACCUAAAGGCAAUUGUUACAUGCUUAGUGGAUUUCCACUAACCGGCCAGGGGAAUCUCCUCCAUGCUUAUCCUCCUUUUCAUCCUCCUGUACGUAGAGAGAGAAGGAGAAAAGAAGUGAAAAGGGGAAAAAGAGAGAAGUAAUGGAUUUGGUGCCGUUUGACGAGCCGAUCGAAACGCCGCGCACCUAAUUUUUAGUGCUUCGACACUCGGGUUAGUAUUAUAAUAUUAUAAUCUCAAAUCAGAUUUUUUUUGAUGGAUUCUUGAUAGUAGAUGUUAAGAAAAGGUGUUUUGGAUGGAUUUAUUAGUUGAUAUAGCUUGGUUUUGCCAUAGAGAACUUAGGAAAAACCUAUAUAGGUAUCAUGUGUGCUUGUUGUGAGAAAGCUUAAGAACAUGAAAUGAGAAUCUGUUGGAAAGUAAUUUGUUGGAAGGAAACCUGAAGUAGAGUUAGUAUAUUUCUUUGAUAAGGUUUGUUUUUUUUAUUACCUUAAAUAAGGUCUAUUUUGGAUGUUCUUUGAUUGCUACAGUUUGUAGCUUCUAUAAAGCUUAGAGAAGCAUGCUGGUAGUAGGAGUGAACUUAGGCUUUCUAGGUUACUAAAAGCUGUUUGCUAUAAAUCCUAGGGAAUAGGCCUAUAUAGGUAUCAUGUAAAUGAACCUAGCUGUUGAGAAAAAUGAAGAGUAAAUUAUAAUUCCUGAUUAAAGCUUGAUUGUAUACCUUAAAGAAAUGAAUUUGUAGUAGAAUUCAGGAAUUCUGAAACUUUAAGAAUGAGAGGUAACAGAAGUUGAUCUCUAAUGUUCCUAAAUUAUUUAACAUUGGUAUUGAAGCCUAGGUUUCUAUAUAGGUUCUUAUAGAACCUAUAUAGAAACAGGUUGUAUUAAGCUAAUGUUUGGGUAGUAUUUAGAGCUCUAAACUCAAAAAUGCUAACUUGUAGGAUUGAGGCCCCAGCUUGAAAUUAAUCGCGUGGAAACCUAAUUGAGGGUAAAACAAACGCGUUGGCGAAGUCGGUUCGGCAAUCCGUCGCUCCUACGCGAAGAUAUCGCCAAAAGAAGAUUUUCGGCGACAAGUGUCGGGAGCGCGGGUCGCGAUUCGUGGAAAAGUGCGAGAAGUGGAUUUCUCUCAUUCCAGUACCAAAUAAAGGUGGGUUAUGCUUACCGAAGCGAUUAGGUCGCUUCCCAUGUCAAAGUAAAGUAUGGUCUCAUUUGAUGCAUAUAUGAAUAUAGUUGUCGAUAUAUGAAUAUAAAUGCUUGAUGCGUAUGAAUGAAUAGGCAUAAAUGGUGGUUGACAUAUUAUGAUUGUUGACAUACGAUAGUUAUCAGAUAAGUAUGAAUGCUACAUGCAUAUGAAUAUGAAUGCUAGAUGCAUAUGAAUGUAUUAUAGUUCAAACUAUAUGAACGUCGAUAAUUCUAAUUGAUAAAGGAACUUCGAUGUUGAUAAGUAAUUGAGAAUAUGUAAACUAUGAACCUAGGCAAGAGUACCUAGGAUGAUAUAUAGAUCGAGUGGCACGGCCUAGUGUCAGUAAACAUAGGUCUGACAUGAACCUAGUGUCAUUGGACAUAGGUCGAGUAAUUAAACCUAGAGUCGAGUUCUAGGUGAAAAUGAUAUAAAACCUAGCAAAUGAACCUAGGUUAUGAUAUAUAGUAAGACUUAGUACAUUUGAACUAAGUUGUGAAUAUUAGUGGUAUAGUGACCACUAGGAAAGGAUUGGUAUCGACCUAGGAGGGUCGUCAACAUAGGGUAAAGUGAGUAAACCCUCAAGUUGUGGAAAUGGAUUCCGGAAUCCCAAGAUCUAUUAUAACCUUGGUAUCAAGGCUAGGGCGUGUGCGACGAUUUCGCCGCCGAGAUUGAUACCAAGGCAGGAUUGGGUGUGUGCGCAGUGUCCACCACCCGGAGGCUUGAACCAUUGUUCGGCGUGUGCGACGAUUUCGCCGCCAGAUGGUUAAGCCAGCUUGUGGAUCCUACCGCCUGUUGACUGAACCACUGUCGUGGCGUGUGCGACGAUUUCGCCGCCGGGUGGCUAAGUCAUUGACCUAGGCUGUUGUUGGGUGAGGUGCGACUCGUUCGCCGCCAGACAGCUAGGACAGGAGUACGGUGAGCUGUCGCCAGCGGAGGUGCAUGUGAAGUUCCUUCACCUCGAGCUAGACAGUGCGCGGACUAUCCGCAAUUGAUUGACUCAAAACCGAGUCGGGUGGCAUAGUGAGAUUAAGGUAAGAGCAACCUUAAGAAAGAAUUUGCCAAUGAAUAUAGUGGGGCCAAGUUUAAGGUGUAGAACACCAAGUACAAGUACAAAGAAUAAAGAGCAAAACAUGAACGAUAAUGAAAUUAGCUAAUGAACGAGAAUAGCUAAGAAAUAAAAGAACGGCUAUAAGUAAAGAAUGGUUAAAGAUAUAAAGUAGAAUCAAGUAAUCUACUUACAUGAUUGACAGGUUUUGCAUAUUGCAUAGCAGCGAGGCAAGGUAUGGUUUUAUUUAUUGCUUAGUCAAAUAUCUAUCUAUCUAUCUAUUUGUUGAACUAACCUACUGUUGCCUCCUUUGGACCUGGUGGGUCGAGCUCUUCCCUUGGGUGGCCGUACCCACUGGGAACUAUAUUUAUAUAGUUCUCACCCCCGUGUUGUUUUGGGGGUACAGGUUGCACGCGAGCGGCGCGGCGGCGCGAGGAGAGGACAGGGCGUAGCUCCGUAGAUAGCGCCCCACCACUGAGACCGAGAUAGCAAUACCCUGAUGUGAUCGAGCUCAUAGAGUAUAAGAUGAAGAAACAAAUUUGUAGUAAAUUGUAUAAGUUUUGUAAUAACUUAAAGGUAUUUGUAAUAGUGUAAAUGUAAAAUUCUGAGAUGAAUGCUUGUAAUAGCAUAGCUCGCAUUUUUGUUUUUGAUACUAUGCAAUCUGUGGUUGAAUACAGUUCCUGUUUGGAACCUCUUGUAUCGCAUUGUAUAGAUUGUGACGCCUAGAACGUACAGGGGAGGUUCUGUCCGUUCGGCGGUCUGUCGGCGUGCCCGAAUCCGACCAAAUAGGCGGAGCUCGGGGCGUGACAGAUUAAAUGGUAUCAGAGCAUGAAAAGAGCAAUAGAAACGGUUUAAGCGGACCUAGGAGACCUAGGAUAGUAAACCGUAAGGACUUAUGUUCGUGAGAGACGAGGACUUGUGACGUGUGGCGAAAGGUAAAUCGAUUGGGUCAAGUUUAGUAAACCUCUAAGACGGAUAUUAGAGGUAGAUUCAAGGUUCAGUUUAUUCUCAGCCAAGUGAGUUCAUGUUGGGUCGACACAACAUGAAACCGAGGGAUGGGAAUAAGCUUCCUUGCAUGACUUUCGCCCGAUUUGAGUUUGUGUUAAUUAUUUCGUAUUCGACCCAGAGGGUCGAGGACUAACCGAGUUGUCGUGUCAUGUUUCAGGAAGCGAUGGCACCGCGUAGGCGAUCUUCGUCUAGAUUGGCGCGAGAUGGGACAGAUGGUGUCCCUGAGCAGACUGAGGCGAGCGGAGACUUGGAGCUUCGCGAUCAGUUGGCCACACUCGUGGGAGUGGUGAGGCAACAAGCGGAUGUAGUGCAACGUCAGCAGGAAACUGCUCUGCGACAAGAAGAGCGAAUAAAGAGACUUCAGGAAACAGUGGAUCAGUUAGUGACCGCACCAGUUUCGGCCUGUCGAGUACAGCCGGGAGUUGCGGCAGCGGCAUUUCCGUCGAGGUCGGGUGAUCCAACUGCUAUUGAUUCAGGGCCGGAAGCGGAAAGAGAGCGAGCUUUAGCGGCUCUCAUGUCCUUCAAGAAGUUUGAUCCAUGCGUUUGAUGGAGAGGACAUAGAUCCAUGGACUGUGGAGUCAUGGAUUGAUUCCAUAGAGACUAUCUUCGAGGAUUUGUACACGGUGGAGCGGGACAAGGUACACCUAGCCGUGCAUUGUCUACAAUUGUCGGCGAAGGAAUGGUGGAAAGGCGUUAAACGGAACCGAUCGCCUAGUCUUCCUUCUAUGGUUUGGGAAGAGUUUCGGGAAUUAAUGCGUUCAACUUAUUUCCCCGAUAGUGAAAAGAGAAAGCUUCAGAACAGGUUUCAGAAACUACGACAGGGAGACCGCCUUGUGAGGGAAUACGAGCGGGAAUUCUCUCGUAUCGUGAACUAUGUUCCAAGUGUGGUACGGGACGACAAGGAUCGAGCUGAUUGUUUUGUACGACUUCGGCCUGAUAUUUUUGAAGCAGUGCAUAAUCUAAAGUUGCAGACUUUUGCUGAAGUCUUGGAUCGGGCCUUAUGGAUAGAACAAGGCAAUGCAUCGGUGCAGGAGGAGCGCGAAUCUUAUUACAAGGAAAAAGAAAAAGAACGACCAGCGAGUGGGUAUGAUGGUCAGUCAAGUUCUCAGCGGACCACUGGGAGUUCGCGUUCGCGAUCCCGAGCUCCGGGGACGUAUCGUAGUCGGACCUCGGCAUGUUGUGUUAUUUGUGGGGGUCCUCACUACCCACAGCAGUGUGAGCAACAAGAUGGCAAGUGCUUCAGGUGUGGACGGCCAGGUCAUGCGCGGGACGAGUGUCCACGGGGUGCUAGCCAAGCCUUGAUGCUGGCGACGGCAUUCUCCUCUCCGGGACAACUUGUAGAUGUGCCACCUGUGGCACGGUCUGGAGAGCGAAUGAGGAUAAGGCAACCGAGGGGUUCGCGACGAACGACAAGUGGCCGUGGAUAGGUGUUCCAUGUGGAGGAACCUGCUACGACUGUUGGCAUUGUGACAGGUACGAGUUAAUCAAAGCAAGCAUGUAUUUCAAUAUGAUAUAAAUUGGUGCAUUGCAUGCUUUCUUUAUGUAUUCUAUUACUACUAUUUGUGCAUGAGGAUAGUAGUGAUUGAUUAUAGAGACCCGAACAUGCUUGUGGUGGAUGUGUAGUACCUGCUAUUGCAGAUAGGAGGCCAAAUGGCACUAGCAAAUUGCUGGUAAGAGCCUGUGAAUAAGACGUAAGACUCGUAGUAGAAAUGGUAGUAGCUGACCAACUCUCAAAUUAAUGCGAGUUGCUGAUUGCGAGAGUCUAGUCGCGGUGUUCGUGGAACUCGUGUAAGACCGAGCAUUUUGCAGGUUGUUCUAGUAGAUCGAACAGUGAAAGUGGAGUCACUGUUGCGUCUGGUACGUGCACGUGGACCUAACAAUACCUCGAAUUGAGGUCAAUGGGUCGUGCUCGUGUAGUUGAGUGCAUAGGCAAGAGUUGCCUGAUGCUAGACUUAAUAUAGCACGCGAUAGAGUCGUGUAGAGCGCUCUAGUGUUGGUGCUCGUAGAGUACAGAUUUGUUUCAGCCGUGAGUGCGUUGGCAGUAGCACUUUAGCAUUGCUAAGUGUGAAGCGUGCCAGAGGUCACUCGUAGGGCUGGUGGCUCGCACUAGGUGCGUAGGAGCCGAUAGUGGUAUGUGUGCGCGAUAGAGAGUGUCGUGUGAGACGACGUUUGCGGGUAGUGCUUGGGGACGAUCCGUGCCUGGACCACUUGUGGACUGUGGAGCCUGGGCCCAUUGGGCAGGCACAGUCGGCUGUGAGAGGCAGCGGCCCGGUACCUACGGGUAGGGCAGCGAGUUUUGGUCAGGACGGUAGUUCCAGCAUAGACCCGAGUACGUGGAAUGCCACGUGUUGGAUCGUGAAAUCGGUGAUGCACUAAGAGUGCGGUUGUGACCCAACCCGAGGACUUGGCGUGGUUUGGGGUCUCGGUUGCUCCCAGUUGGAGUAGGUAUAAGGUAUCUCAAAUGAGAACUUUGCUUCGUGAUAAUUGGGUUUACGCUUGCGAGCGAGAGGCAUUAUGUCGUGUCACGGUUGAGUUAGGCAAUCGGCCUAUAGCGGAUCGGUAACUUAUGAACCGAAUUGUGGUAUUGGUUUACUCGUUCAUACUGAAAGCGAGCGUAGUGGACCCAUUCCAGUGGCUUGUGAGUAGGGCCGUGAAAGCGAAGGCUUAGUCCUAUGGAUGAAUUAAUCAGACUUGCUACGAUAAGCAUCGAUAACGAGCUGAGAAUGGAAACGCGAACAAAGUGUUCGUAGAGACUGAUGUGGAGAAAUCAGUAUAGUAUAAAAUGAAAUUGAGAAACUGUAGAAUAGUAUUGGAAUUUAUCUCCAUCCGUUAAGUAAUGAGGAAUAAAAUGUAUCUAAGUUUCGCGGACGAAACUUUUGUUAACGGGAGGAGAAUGUAACAUAUGGAAAUUUGGAGUUGCGAUGUCAACUUUGAUCUCGGGGAUCAAAGUGAGGAUUGAGCUAGUUGGACAUCAUCCUCGAGUGAUUCGUGAUGCGUUGGAAUGAAUUUCGGAGAUAAAUAAGUGUUUCGGCGCAAAUUGGGCGCGAAACGAAAUGUAAAAAGAAAGAGAAUUUUCGGAUUUCCGACGCUAACUUUGAUUAAAAGAAUUAAAGUAAGGCGUGAGGAUAAAUUGUGGUAUCUCCGAAUCAAUUGUGAAGUUUUGGUAAAGCCAAGGGUGUGUUUUCACAGGGUUUUGAAGAGCUCAGUGCGAAGUGGUAGUGCAAAAAGGCCAUGUAAUGGAAUUGGAGCCGAUUCUAUUUCUAAUUCGGCUCAAAUAAUGUCAAAAUGAAAACGAAUUGCUUCCAAAUUGGAUUGGUAGCUUGUGAAGGUCCCUUGGUAUCUUUUGGACAUGUUUGGGUGAAAUCGGAGUGAAAACGGAAACUUUAGAAUUUUCUGUAAAGAACGGGACUGAGAAAAUUAGCGGAAAAUGCACAGUGUCAGAAAAUUAUGAAAAUUGGCAGAGAUGUCAGGAACAUUUUUAUGAGGCUAGAUUUGAAGUUUCAGAUUAUUCUGACACCUAUAGAGAGAGAAAUAGCAUCCGAAAGUUAUCUGAUGAAGAUUAUAGUUCGGGACAGUUCGCAGUGACCAAACGGGGUCGAAACUGAAAUGUUAAAAUUUCAGUGGACUUGUAAAGGAAAACCGAGUAUGCCUGUCGAAUUUGAGCUCAAUUGGACUGUCGGAAGGGCUCCAAUUAAAUGUAUCAGACUAGAAUUGGAUUGAAGUGAUAAGAUCGAUGACUUAUGGACCUAAAGGCAAUUGUUACAUGCUUAGUGGAUUUCCACUAACCGGCCAGGGGAAUCUCCUCCAUGCUUAUCCUCCUUUUCAUCCUCCUGUACGUAGAGAGAGAAGGAGAAAAGAAGUGAAAAGGGGAAAAAGAGAGAAGUAAUGGAUUUGGUGCCGUUUGACGAGCCGAUCGAAACGCCGCGCACCUAAUUUUUAGUGCUUCGACACUCGGGUUAGUAUUAUAAUAUUAUAAUCUCAAAUCAGAUUUUUUUUGAUGGAUUCUUGAUAGUAGAUGUUAAGAAAAGGUGUUUUGGAUGGAUUUAUUAGUUGAUAUAGCUUGGUUUUGCCAUAGAGAACUUAGGAAAAACCUAUAUAGGUAUCAUGUGUGCUUGUUGUGAGAAAGCUUAAGAACAUGAAAUGAGAAUCUGUUGGAAAGUAAUUUGUUGGAAGGAAACCUGAAGUAGAGUUAGUAUAUUUCUUUGAUAAGGUUUGUUUUUUUAUUACCUUAAAUAAGGUCUAUUUUGGAUGUUCUUUGAUUGCUACAGUUUGUAGCUUCUAUAAAGCUUAGAGAAGCAUGCUGGUAGUAGGAGUGAACUUAGGCUUUCUAGGUUACUAAAAGCUGUUUGCUAUAAAUCCUAGGGAAUAGGCCUAUAGGUAUCAUGUAAAUGAACCUAGCUGUUGAGAAAAAUGAAGAGUAAGUUAUAAUUCCUGAUUAAAGCUUGAUAUGUAUACCUUAAAGAAAUGAAUUUGUAGUAGAAUUCAGGAAUUCUGAAACUUUAAGAAUGAGAGGUAACAGAAGUUGAUCUCUAAUGUUCCUAAAUUAUUUAACAUUGGUAUUGAAGCCUAGGUUUCUAUAUAGGUUCUUAUAGAACCUAUAUAGAAACAGGUUGUAUUAAGCUAAUGUUUGGGUAGUAUUUAGAGCUCUAAACUUAAAAAUGCUAACUUGUAGGAUUGAGGCCCCAGCUUGAAAUUAAUCGCGUGGAAACCUAAUUGAGGGUAAAACAAACGCGUUGGCGAAGUCGGUUCGGCAAUCCGUCGAGCCUACGUGAAGAUAUUGCCAAAAGAACAUUCUCGGCGACAAGUGUCGGGAGCGCGGGUCGCGAUUCGUGGAAAAGUGCGAGAAGUGGAUUUCUCUCAUUCCAGUACCAAAUAAAGGUGGGUUAUGCUUACCGAAGCGAUUAGGUCGCUUCCCAUGUCAAAGUAAAGUAUGGUCUCAUUUGAUGCAUAUAUGAAUAUAGUUGUCGAUAUAUGAAUAUAAAUGCUUGAUGCGUAUGAAUGAAUAGGCAUAUAUGGUGGUUGACAUAUUAUGAUUGUUGACAUAUGAUAGUUAUCAGAUAAGUAUGAAUGCUACAUGCAUAUGAAUAUGAAUGCUAGAUGCAUAUGAAUGUAUUAUAGUUCAAACUAUAUGAACGUCGAUAAUUCUAGUUGAUAAAGGAACUUCGAUGUUGAUAAGUAAUUGAAAAUAUGUAAACUAUGAACCUAGGCAAGAGUACCUAGGAUGAUAUAUAGAUCGAGUGGCAUGGCCUAGUGUCAGUAAACAUAGGUCUGACAUGAACCUAGUGUCAUUGGACAUAGGUCGAGUAAUUAAACCUAGAGUCGAGUUCUAGGUGAAAAUGAUAUAAAACCUAGCAAAUGAACCUAGGUUAUGAUAUAUAGUAAGACUUAGUACAUUUGAACUAAGUUGUGAAUAUUAGUGGUAUAGUGACCACUAGGAAAGGAUUGGUAUCGACCUAGGAGGGUCGUCAACAUAGGGUAAAGUGAGUAAACCCUCAAAUUGUGGAAAUGGAUUCCGGAAUCCCAAGAUCUAUUAUAACCUUGGUAUCAAGGCUAGGGCGUGUGCGACGAUUUCGCCGCCGAGAUUGAUACCAAGGCAGGAUUGGGUGUGUGCGCAGUGUCCACCACCCGGAGGCUUGAACCAUUGUUCGGCGUGUGCGACGAUUUCGCCGCCAGAUGGUUAAGCUAGCUUGUGGAUCCUACCGCCUGUUGACUGAACCACUGUCGUGGCGUGUGCGACGAUUUCGCCGCCGGGUGGCUAAGUCAUUGACCUAGGCUGUUGUUGGGUGAGGUGCGACUCGUUCGCCGCCAGACAGCUAGGACAGGAGUACGGUGAGCUGUCGCCAGCUGAGGUGCAUGUGAGAGUUCCUUCACCUCGAGCUAGACAGUGCGCGGACUAUCCGCAAUUGAUUGACUCAAAACCGAGUCGGGUGGCAUAGUGAGAUUAAGGUAAGAGCAACCUUAAGAAAGAAUUUGCCAAUGAAUAUAGUGGGGCCAAGUUUAAGGUGUAGAACACCAAGUACAACUACAAAGAAUAAAGAGCAAAACAUGAACGAUAAUGAAAUUAGCUAAUGAACGAGAAUAGCUAAGAAAUAAAAGAACGGCUAUAAGUAAAGAAUGGUUAAAGAUAUAAAGUAGAAUCAAGUAAUCUACUUACAUGAUUGACAGGUUUUGCAUAUUGCAUAGCAGCGAGGCAAGGUAUGGUUUUAUUUAUUGCUUAGUCAAAUAUCUAUCUAUCUAUCUAUUUGUUGAACUAACCUACUGUUGCCUCCUUUGGACCUGGUGGGUCGAGCUCUUCCCUUGGGUGGCCGUACCCACUGGGAACUAUAUUUAUAUAGUUCUCACCCCCGUGUUGUUUUGGGGGUACAGGUUGCACGCGAGCGGCGCGGCGGCGCGAGGACAGGGCGUAGCUCCGUAGAUAGCGCCCCACCACUGAGACCGAGAUAGCAAUACCCUGAUGUGAUCGAGCUCAUAGAGUAUAAGAUGAAGAAACAAAUUUGUAGUAAAUUGUAUAAGUUUUGUAAUAACUUAAAGGUAUUUGUAAUAGUGUAAAUGUAAAAUUCUGAGAUGAAUGCUUGUAAUAGCAUAGCUCGCAUUUUUGUUUUUGAUACUAUGCAAUCUGUGGUUGAAUACAGUUCCUGUUUGGAACCUCUUGUAUCGCAUUGUAUAGAUUGUGACGCCUAGAACGUACAGGGGAGGUUCUGUCCGUUCGGCGGUCUGUCGGCGUGCCCGAAUCCGACCAAAUAGGCGGAGCUCGGGGCGUGACAGUGGAGCUCCCUUAUAUUCUAUAUGUACUAUAGAAUUGAUACAGUUGUGUGCUUUUGUGGUUGAUAUAGAACUUGAGACGAAUCACUAUAUUAUAGUGUUGAUAUAUAAUUGAAUUGAAACCUCUAUGAAGUAGAGAACAUUCAUGCAUACAAGUUUUUAUGUUCAUGUUCAAUUCAGUUGAAUGAUUAAUGGACAAGUUAUCAUGUUGCUAGAAAGUAGAAAACUAUGACAUUCUUAUGACACUUUCUUGGCUCUAAAAUAGAGAACAAUGACUUGCUUAUAAUGUUUAUAGUGCCAUGAUAGUGACAAGAUUCUUAUGCCAUAUGUAAAUUUAGCAUUACUCUUGCAUGUUUAAUAAUCUAGUGGAUACUAGUUAUUGCCAAUAUUUAUUAUAUUGAAAAUUCCGAUCAAAAAAUCGAGAGCGAGAACAUUGCAAGUUGGAAAGUGAUGAUUGAGACAUAUUGGACUAUGGAUUUGCUUGCUGCCAUUGUGCUCAUUCGCACAUGCUUGUGAGGGUCGCUCCCUACAAACCAGCACUUCGGAGUUGGCCUACGCGACAGUUGCUCGCCCGUGCGGGAUUGGGUGCCGAAGUGGAUUGCCGUGGGGAGUGUACACUACCACGUGGCCAUUAGGCGCGGCGCAAGCUGGACUACCUUGAGUAGGUUCUCGUGAUUGAAAGGAAAUUGGACAGUAAUGAAUGAUUACUUGUUACAGUGUACAGUAGUUACUUACACACUCAUGCUUAUGUUCCUGUUUAUGUUCAUGCUGAUCGUAGAUGCUAUGCUUCUAUUAUUCCGUUGAUUCAUUACUGUCGAGAUUAUGAAUUCAUGUUGCUUACAUGUUUGUUACCUGUUAGCAUUGCAUAUUUACAUGUUUCAUGUAAUUACUGCUGUUACUUACCUUUAGUACAUCAUGAACCUAGUGGUGUAAUUCGCCGAGGCUGGCGGCUUACCCACUGGGAACUAUUGUUUAUAGUUCUCACGCCCUUUUUGUGGUUGUUUUUACAGAGCCAUCUACAGGAGAGGCUAGGGAUCGUGGCAAGGGAGUCGCGUCUAGCUAGACAUUGCUAGGAGCAUGCCAGUCGAUCACCUUGCUACUCGGGCUACGGCCGAGGGUGAUGUCCCUAUGUAUAGAGAGACUACCAUUGUACCUAUUCUUUUUGGAUACUCGUGAUGUAUAUUACUAUUUGGACCAGAUACUAUAGUUGUGACACUAC
rnacentral:lncRNA from 1 species